rnacentral:rRNA from 1 species
AGCGAACGCUGGCGGCAGGCCUAACACAUGCAAGUCGAACGAACCUUUCGGGGUUAGUGGCGGACGGGUGAGUAACACGUGGGAACGUGCCUUUAGGUUCGGAAUAACUCAGGGAAACUUGUGCUAAUACCGAAUGUGCCCUUCGGGGGAAAGAUUUAUCGCCUUUAGAGCGGCCCGCGUCUGAUUAGCUAGUUGGUUGAGGUAAUGGCUCACCAAGGCGACGAUCAGUAGCUGGUCUGAGAGGAUGAUCAGCCACAUUGGGACUGAGACACGGCCCAAACUCCUACGGGAGGCAGGAGUGGGGAAUCUUGCGCAAUGGGCGAAAGCCUGAAGCAGCCAUGCCGGGUGAAUGAUGAAGGUCUUAGGAUUGUAAAAUUCUUUCACCGGGGACGAUAAUGACGGUACCCGGAGAAGAAGCCCCGGCUAACUUCGUG